UGGGGAAUAUUGCACAAUGGGCGCAAGCCUGAUGCAGCCAUGCCGCGUGUAUGAAGAAGGCCUUCGGGUUGUAAAGUACUUUCAGCGGGGAGGAAGGGAGUAAAGUUAAUACCUUUGCUCAUUGACGUUACCCGCAGAAGAAGCACCGGCUAACUCCGUGCCAGCAGCCGCGGUAAUACGGAGGGUGCAAGCGUUAAUCGGAAUUACUGGGCGUAAAGCGCACGCAGGCGGUUUGUUAAGUCAGAUGUGAAAUCCCCGGGCUCAACCUGGGAACUGCAUCUGAUACUGGCAAGCUUGAGUCUCGUAGAGGGGGGUAGAAUUCCAGGUGUGGCGGUGAAAUGCGUAGAGAUCUGGAGGAAUACCGGUGGCGAAGGCGGCCCCCUGGACGAAGACUGACGAUCAGGUGCGAAAGCGUGGGGAGCAAACAGG
rnacentral:rRNA from 1 species